UUGAGAUACAAUAUAGUUGACUAAAUUAGGAUUGACAGUUAAAUCCUAGGUCACUUUAAGUAUUUGGGUCAAAAAGAUGAAUCAUAUGGUAACCAUACGUCAGUAGGUUCUAAAAGGUUGCUUUGCAAUACUUCGACCUAUCCAGUCGUCGAGUCAUCAUGGCUAGAUGGUUAUAUCGAUUGGUAUAGAAAGUUAUUCCUAUGCUAAUGCCUUAGGUUUGAAUCUAUGAGAUCACAUGCAUUAGAAUAUUUGGUC
rnacentral:lncRNA from 1 species